UCUGUCUCGGUCUCUCUACCAUUGUGUCUUGUUUUUAUCUGUCUCUGUCAUCUGUUUUCUUAUAUAAACACACAUGUGCAUACACGUAUACACACACACACACACACACAGAGCGAGAGCGAGAGAGAAUGAGAGCGCAGGGAGAGUGAAAGAGAGAGCAGAAGUGGGAGUGGGUAGGUCAUUCCUUUAUUCUGCUUGGAAAUGUCAGAGUGUAGAGCUUACCUCUUUAGGUGACAAAUUAUCCAUGGAUCAGAGAUUCCCAGCAACUCAGGAGGAAAAGACUAAGGGCACACUAAACCUUUUUUUCUGAAACUAUAAAAUCAAAUACUAUAAGAGCGACAUAAAAAGGUUCCAGGAAGUUCCUACAGGAAAAGGAAAAGCCCUGUGGUCGUGGUGUGAAUGCAGAGGACAGAGGGUAGGCGUGUCCUGAGCUUCAGGAGAGCCUAACCCGGCUCAGAAAGGCACUACUUUCCAUCGACCACCAGGGGGCAGAAGUUGUCUAUUUUGCAGUCACUCGUCCGGAACCUGUUCAGGCAUCUGGGCUGUGUUGACUUACUUAAAUCUCUCAUUCAAAGAAAACAAAAAAACAAAAAACAAAAAACAAAAAAACAAAACAAAACAAAACGAGCGUGCAAUUUUAAAAAACAACCAUUAGCUCAUGUAUACCCAGAAAACUAAGUCUGCCUGACUCGGCCCAAAAGCCAACAGGGAUUCCCGGCUAACAUUUCUUUGGCGCAUGGUCUUUGGUGUGCCCUUAAAAGAAGUAGUCGUCGCCGAAGGAAAGUCAAAUGGAACAUAAUGGACGGCCUGCUGAUCACACUGCAUUUUCCGUGCACUGGGAACACUUCUAUUAUUGAAUUCUAUCAGGGCGCCUGUGAUUUGGAGAAUGUGUUGAUUAAUCUAGCUGUCUCCCACCUGCCCCCUUCCCUUCCCUGCCUCUCAUUGCUAGCGUGUCUGGAAAGGAUCAACCUUUCCCCCUCCCUUUAACUCAAGCACGCUGAGCUGAUGCCGGCUAUGGCGCAGUGAGGAACCCUCCUGGCCAUGAUGUGUUCCGUUUCUGCUGUUAUUUCCACAGUUCCUUCCUCACUGACAGUUUUCUUUUUCUCUCUCUCUUCCUCCUUCACCCAUCCCACCCCCCUAACUCAUUUCUGGUCCUAACCCCGCUCUCUU
rnacentral:lncRNA from 1 species